AAGAGCUUCCAAAUUGUCUAUGAAUGCGCCUGAUCUCAUCUGAUCUCGGAAGCUAAGCAGGGUCAAGCCUGGUUAGUACUUGGAUGGGAAGAGCUUCCA
rnacentral:rRNA from 1 species